GCCCCCAGAAGGUUCCCCAGGGGGGCCCCCAUAGAGGGCCUUAGAGAGGGCCCCAUAGGGGCCCCCAUAAGGGCCUUCAUAGGAAGCCCCAGAAAGGACCUAAGAGAAGGGCCCGUAGGGGCCCCUAGAGGGGCCCCCAGAGGGGGAAUUAGAGGGCCCCCAAGGGGGCCCCCAGAAGGGUCCGGGGCCCCAAAGGCUUAUUAAAAAGGUUCAUAUCCUAGAAGCCCUUUUGACUUUCUUGGUAACUCCAAAAGGGCCUUUAGGGCCCCUUAUGGGCCCCAAAACAACACUACACUCUGGGGGC
rnacentral:RNase_P_RNA from 1 species